CUUCCUCUCCUCUCCAGGGUAACCCCCUUCUAGAACAGCUGUUGUUAUCUUCCUCUCCUCUCCAGGGUAACCCCCCUCUAGAACAGCUGUUGUUAUCUUCCUCUCCUCUCCAGGGGUAACCCCCUUCUAGAACAGCUGUUGUUAUCUUCCUCUCCUCUCCAGGGUAACCCCCUCUAGAACAGCUGUUGUUAUCUUCCUCUCCUCUCCAGGGGUAACCCCUUCUAGAAC
rnacentral:lncRNA from 1 species